rnacentral:rRNA from 1 species
UACGUAGGGUGCAAGCGUUAAUCGGAAUUACUGGGCGUAAAGCGUGCGCAGGCGGUUUUGUAAGUCUGUCGUGAAAGCCCCGGGCUUAACCUGGGAAUUGCGAUGGAGACUGCAAGGCUUGAAUCUGGCAGAGGGGGGUAGAAUUCCACGUGUAGCAGUGAAAUGCGUAGAGAUGUGGAGGAACACCGAUGGCGAAGGCAGCCCCCUAGGUCAAGAUUGACGCUCAUGCACGAAAGCGUGGGGAGCAAACAGG